UACGUAGGGUGCAAGCGUUGUCCGGAAUUAUUGGGCGUAAAGAGCUCGUAGGCGGUCUGUCGCGUCGGAUGUGAAAACCCAGGGCUCAACCCUGGGCCUGCAUUCGAUACGGGCAGACUAGAGUGUGGCAGGGGAGACUGGAAUUCACGGUGUAGCGGUGAAAUGCGUAGAUAUCGUGGAGAACACCCGUGGCGAAGGCGGGCUUCUGGCUAAUGACUGACGCUGAGGUGCGAAAGCUAGGGGAGCGAACGGG
rnacentral:rRNA from 1 species